rnacentral:rRNA from 1 species
AUUGAACGCUGGCGGCAUGCCUUACACAUGCAAGUCGAACGGUAACAGGUCUUCGGAUGCUGACGAGUGGCGAACGGGUGAGUAAUACAUCGGAACGUGCCUAGUAGUGGGGGAUAACUACUCGAAAGAGUGGCUAAUACCGCAUGAGAUCUACGGAUGAAAGCAGGGGAUCGCAAGACCUUGUGCUACGAGAGCGGCCGAUGGCAGAUUAGGCAGUCGGUGGGAUAAAAGCUUACCAAGCCGACGAUCUGUAGCUGGUCUGAGAGGACGAUCAGCCACACUGGGACUGAGACACGGCCCAGACUCCUACGGGAGGCAGCAGUGGGGAAUUUUGGACAAUGGGCGAAAGCCUGAUCCAGCAAUGCCGCGUGCAGGAUGAAGGCCUUCGGGUUGUAAACUGCUUUUGUACGGAACGAAAAGCCCCGGGUUAAUACCCUGGGGUCAUGACGGUACCGUAAGAAUAAGCACCGGCUAACUACGUGCCAGCCGCCGCCGUAA